rnacentral:lncRNA from 1 species
AAGUAUAUCUUAAAUAAAUCUCAACCAAGUCUUAACUUAAUUCUACUUGAAACUCUAAUGGACUUCAAUCAAAACCUAGGCCAAAUCCUAAAUCUUAAACAAACUCUAAAAUCCUAAAUCCUAACCAAAUCUUGACCAAAUCCUAAGCAAAUCUUAAAUCCUAAAUUCUAAAAAAAUCCUAAAUCCUAAAUCCUAACCAAAUCUUAAUCAAAUCCUAAAUCUUAAUCCAGCUCUAAUCCUAAACCAAAUCCAAACCAAAAUAUAACCAAC